rnacentral:rRNA from 1 species
AACGAACGCUGGCGGCAGGCUUAACACAUGCAAGUCGAACGCACCUUUCGGGGUGAGUGGCAGACGGGUGAGUAACACGUGGGAACGUACCCUUUUGUUCGGAAUAACCCUGGGAAACUAGGGCUAAUACCGGAUACGCCCUAACGGGGAAAGGUUUACUGCAGGAGGAUCGGCCCGCGUCCGAUUAGCUAGUUGGUUGGGGUAAUGGCUCACCAAGGCGACGAUCGGUAGCUGGUCUGAGAGGAUGGCCAGCCACAUUGGGACUGAGACACGGCCCAAACUCCUACGGGAGGCAGCAUUGGGGAAUAUUGGACAAUGGGCGAAAGCCUGAUCCAGCCAUGCCGCGUGAGCGAUGACGGCCUUAGGGUUGUAAAGCUCUUUUACCUGGGAAGAUAAUGACGGUACCAGGAGAAUAAGCCCCGGCUAACUUCGUGCCAGCAGCCGCCGUAACAC